CCCACAUCGGGAAGCUAACAUAAGAGUGGAUGCGAAGCUGGCUUUAAAUAGAGAGAACCAUGAGGAGAGUAAAGGUACCUUUCUUGGCUGAUCCCUUUCGUUGUAUGGCGUGCUCGUUUGGGUUGGGCGUCGGCUAAGAGUGCUCAGAGCGUGGAUUAACUCCAGUCUCCUAUCAGGUGCGUAUUUCUCACUACUCUAGCUGUAGGAUGGCUACUUCGGGCGGCGAUGGGCCGAAAGGGGUCAUGUGGGCCCAAUGGGCCUACGGGCCCAAUUGGAUAAGUUUGUUUGAUUGUGUAGUAAAUAUUGGACUAAGCUAGGUGAAUCUCAUAUUUGUGGCUAGAUUUGGGCUAAAAGGGCCACACGAGCGUGUGGGCCCAUUUAGGUCGAGAAUAGGCUUUAGGCCCAUUCGUAUUGUUAUCUCUGUUUAGAAUACUUUAGUUUACCAAAUUACUAAAAUGUCCUCAAUUUGUAAAAUUAUCAAAGUACCCUCGAUUUACAGAAUUACCGUUUUAUCCUCGAUUUACAAAAUUAUCAUUUUACCCUUGAUUUAUAGAAUUACCAUUUUACCCUUAAUUUAUAGAAUUAUCAUUUUUCCCUCGAUUUAUAGAAUUACUAUUUUACCCUCGAUUUACAAAAUUACUAAAAUACCCUUGGUUUACAAAAUUACCAAAAUACCCCUAGUUUGUAAAAUUACCAAAAUACCACUAGUUUGUGAAAUUACCGAAAUACCCUCAAUUUGUAAAAUUACCAAAAUACCCCUAAUUUACAAAAUUACAAAAAUACCCUUGAAUUUCUAAAAAUUAUAGAAAUACCAUUGGUUUACAAAAUUAUUGAAAUACCCUUGGUUUGUAGAUUUACCAAAACACCCUUGUAGGAUGAAAUAACUAAAAAUACCCCUAAUAGGUAAAAAGACCGUAAAGCCCCUGUAGGGUAAAGUGACCGUAAUACCCCUGUAUGGUAAAAUGAUGAAUAUGCCCUUAUGUUCCGUAUGACUGAUGUGCUUAGGAUUUACAUAUAUUGAUAUUGGAUUAGUUAAGUUUGAGUGAUAGGUGGUGGUUAUCGUAGGUGAUUGAUUUUGGAAACGUUUCAACUUCAACCCAUAACAGGUGUGUAAUAACCCUCGCAGUAACUUAGAUUAAUAUUCGCCGAAAAGCAGAAAUGCUAAAAUUCUGACAUUUCGGGAACUUGUGAUUUUGCCUUGGCUUAAAGAUGCGAUACAUACAAUAUGAUCGGUGUUUGGAUCGAUGGAGCAGGCAAGAGCGCAAUUUUGUGCACAAUGGUAAGUUGGGCCUCAAUGGGCUGGAAUCGGGCCCAAUGGGCUUUCGGGCCCAUUUCGGUAAAACUGAUAGAAAAUGGAAUCUGGAAAAGUUGCAUGUUAACACGGUUAGUACUAUUGUAAAAUUUGGAUUAAGCAAGCUUAGUGGGCUAAAUCAGCAUUCGUAGGGCCCAUUUGGGGUUUUGGGCCCAAAAGCCCAUAUUUGAUUAAGUGGGUUAAAGAUCAUUGUUUAAACACUCAAAAAUAUUGAUAAUUGUUAAUGAACAUGGAAAACCCUGAUAUUUGGUAAAAUUACUAAAUUACCCUUAUAACAUGGAAAAUGACUAUUUUGCCCUUGUGGGCAAAUGACUGACUUGGACUGUGUGGUUGAUGGAUUUGAUUGUGAAUAUAUGUUGGUGAUAUGAAUGGCUUGGCUAUGAUUGUUUGAUUCAAAUAUGGGCAUGACAUUCUGUAUACAUGACAUGUUGCAUGGGUUGGGUUUUAUAAAUGGAGGAAGUGCUAAAAGGGCUAUGCCCCAGUUUACCGAAAAGGGCUUUUCCCUAGUUUAUCAAAAAGGGCUUUGCCCCAGUAAUUAAAAGAGGCUAGGCCUCCAGUUAUAUGAUAAAGCAGUUAUGCUGCUAGUGGAGAGUUUGGUUGGGUGGGUUGAGUUAUUCCCCACAUGGUGUGUUGGUUGGUACGGGUGGAGAGUAGCGGAUGGUGGGUUGAGUAGUCUCCCCAAACGGGCUUGCAUACAUUCAUUGAUAUUACAUGUGAUAUUGAAAUGGGCCUAUGGGCCAUACCGCUUACAGUAAAGGCUUCGGCCAGUGAUAUGAUUUAUGAAAAGGCUUCGGCCUAGUGAUAUGAUUUAUGAAAAGGCUUCGGCCCAGUAUAUGUCGAGACUGAAUUAGGGCUUAGGCCCAUAUUGCUACUGUUUAAGGGCUAAGGCCCAGACUGUACUAUUACUGAAUAGGGCUUUGGCCCAGAUUGUACUGACACUGUGUUAUUCACUGUUUUUUUAUUGUUGGGGAUUACAUACUGAGUUUUCGUAAACUCACCCCAUUUCUAACUAUGUAGGUAAUCCCUAAGCUUAGAUGGUUUGGAGCUGUGAGGGACUCGGAGAUGGCCACACUACUGUUUCUGUUUCUUUUAAUUGCAAUAAGUAACCAAUUUAUUUUUUUAUAUAAGUUUUAUAUUAAUUAAUAUUAUUAUUUCGUUUUGGGUUGUAAUAAGGCCAUUUUAAUUAUUUUUCUGGGAUUAUUUUAUUUUAUACCCUAUAUUUUACUGAUAACAAACCAAAAUGGGUUAGACUUAGGGCGCAUUUCCAAAAUGAUAAUUAUUUUCAAAAUAACGCAACGAUACAAUUAAUCAGUUUAUCAAAAAUAUCUACUUAAAUGAAUUCCAACUCGUUUUUCUCAAAACCUAACCUCACACCAAAGUGUGGCAAUGGUUGUGGGCAUGUCUAGGAUUGUAUCCAAUCAAGAGCUUGGUACUUAAGCAGCCUUCAUGGCUCAUCUCCUCUGUUUCAGAUACCUACCUGGUGCACAGCUUCCAUUCACUUUAUUAACUUAGCAAAGACUAUCUUUUAAAACACUAAGAAGCACGUUGAAAGAGGCAUGGUAUUCUUAAAAACUUCAAUGUGACACGUCGGAUCUGGCCAUAACAUCUGGGCCAGGUUUGGGGUGUUACAUUUAGUGGUAUCAGAGCCAGGUUACAAAACUUGGCUCUGGUAUGGGUAGCAGAAAAUUAUUGUUAUUUUUUUAUGUUCUUUCUUUUUUCGAAAUUGGGGUUUGAAAAGGGUUUUUCUAAAAAAAAUUUUGAAAUUUAUCAACGAAACUUGACUUGUUUCUGAAAAGAUGUUGCUGGAAGUGUGGCACAACGAGUCUCCGGCACCAAUUCUAUAAGUUCUCUAACUCUGUUUACUGUUAUAGAUUGAAAUGCUAUAUUGAGAAACCACUAUAGAUAGUAGCAUUAUACUGAAACUUUCUAGUUAGAGUAAACUGUAACGCUUGAAUUUAGAUUUAGUAUUUAUUUGGUGUGUGUUCUGGAAAUGUAGAAUUGGUUGCCUGUGAAAUCUAUCCGCUCCGAUGGAUAAAUGUUUUGGGUGUAUGUUAGUAUUAUUAGUAUCAGAGUGCGCAGCGGAAGUGUGGUGGUGUAGUCUAAGAGUGGAAAAUUUCAAGGACGAAAUUUCUUUAAGGGGGUAGAAUUGUAACACCUCGAAUUUGGGCCUAAAAGUAUUGGGCCUUGAGUGGGGGUUCAUAAGGAGGUUGAAUAUUGGUAUUUAAUUGUGCAAUGAAAUGAAACAAUUAAAUGUUUGCUUUAGUGGUUAAUGGCUUUGAGAAGUGUUGGAGAAAUUUUGGGUUCAAACUUGGGCUUUAGCAAAAAUUUUGGUAUUAAGUGAAAAAAAAACCUGGAUGCUUGGAUGAGGGCCUUUUAAAUUAUUGUGUUAAAUAAAUGACAGAAGGAGCAAUGUGGUCUAGUGGAAGUGGCGUAAUUAAGGUUGUAUGGGAGCCUGGGUUCAAGCCUUGGCUCUUGCAAUUUAUUCUGUUUUUUUUAAGGGAACCUGGACUUUGGCCUUUAGACCUUAUAAUUAAUUGGGGAUAAAAUAUGACACAAAAAGAGCCUGUGGUGAAGUGGCAAACUGGCAUCAUAGAGUUGGCAAGGAGGUCCAGGGUUCGAAACUCAUGGCAAUCAAAGAGCAUUUAUUUUGCUAACAGGGGGCGGCAAGAGUUGGUGUUGAAUUUAAACUCUGAUAAUCGAAGGAUCCCACAUCGGGAAGUUAACAUAAGAGUGGAUGCGAAGCUGGCUUUAAAUAGAGAGAACCAUGAGGAGAGUAAAGGUACCUUUCUUGGCUAAUCCCUUUCGUUGUAUGGCGUGCUCGUUUGGGUUGGGCGUCGGCUAAGAGUGCUCAGAGCGUGGAUUAACUCCAGUCUCCUAUCAAGUGUGUAUUUCUCACUACUCUAGCUGUAGGAUGGCUACUUCGGGCGGCGAUGGGCCGAAAGGGGUCAUGUGGGCCCAAUGGGCCUACGGGCCCAAUUGGAUAAGUUUGUUUGAUUGUGUAGUAAAUAUUGGACUAAGCUAGGUGAAUCUCAUAUUUAUGGCUAGAUUUGGGCUAAAAGGGCCACACGAGCGUGUGGGCCCAUUUGGGCCUAGAAUAGGCUUUAGGCCCAUUCGUAUUGUUAUCCCUGUUUAGAAUACUUUAGUUUACCAAAUUACUAAAAUGUCCUCAAUUUAUAAAAUUACCAAAGUACCCUCGAUUUACAAAAUUACUGUUUUACCCUCGAUUUACAGAAUUACUGUUUUACCCUCGAUUUAUAGAAUUACCAUUUUACCCUCAAUUUAUAGAAUUACCGUUUUACCCUUGAUUUACAAAAUUACCGUUUUACCCUCGAUUUACAGAAUUAUCGUUUUACCCUCGAUUUACAAAAUUACUAAAAUACCGUUGGUUUACAAAAUUACCAAAAUACCCCUAGUUUGUAAAAUUACCAAAAUACCACUGGUUUGUGAAAUUACCGAAAUACCCUCAAUUUGUAAAAUUACCAAAAUACCCCUAAUUUACAAAAUUACAAAAAUACCCUUGACUUUCUAAAAAUUAUAGAAAUACCAUUGGUUUACAAAAUUACUGAAAUACUCUUGGUUUGUAGAUUUACCAAAACACCCUUGUAGGAUGAAAUGACUAAAAUACCCCUAAUAGGUAAAAAGACCGUAAAGCCCCUAUAUGGUAAAGUGACCGUAAUACCCCUGUAUGGUAAAAUGACGAAUAUGCCCUUAUGUUCUGUAUGAUUGAUGUGCUUAGGAUUUACAUAUAUUGAUAUUGGAUUUAUUAAGUUUGAGUGAUAGGUGAUGGUUAUCAUAGGUGAUUGAUUUUGGAAACGUUUCAACUUCAACCCAUAACAGGUGUGUAAUAACCCUUGCAGUAGCUUAGAUUAAUAUUCGCCGAAAAGCAGAAAUGCUAAAAUUCCAGCAUUUCAAGAAUUUGUGAUUUUGCCUUUGCUUAAAGAUGUGAUAGAUACGAUAUGAUCGGUGUUUGGAUCGAUGGAGCAGGUAAGAGCGCAAUUUUGUGCACGAUGGUAAGUUGGGCCUCAAUGGGUUGGAAACGGACCCAAUAGGCUUUCGGGCCCAUUUGGGUAAAAAUGAUAGAAAAUGGAAUCUGGAAAAGUUGCAUGUUAACACGGUUAGUACUGUUGUAAAAUUUGGAUUAAGCAGGCUUAGUGGGCUAAAUCAACAUUCGUAGGGCCCAUCAGGGGUUUUGGGCCCAAAAGCCCGAAUUUGUUAAAGUGGGUUAAAGAUUAUUGUUUAAACACUUGGAAAUAUUGAUAAUUGUUAAUGAACAUAGAAAACCCUGAUAUUUGGUAAAAUUACGAAAUUACCCUUAUAAUAUGAAAAAUGACUAUUUUGCCCUUGUGGGCAAAUGACUGACUUGGAUUGUGUGGUUGAUGGAUUUGAUUGUGAAUAUAUGUUGGUGAUAUGAAUGGCUUGCCUGUGAUUGUUUGAUUCAAAUAUGGGCAUGACAUUUUGCAUACAUGACAUGUUGCAUGGGUUGGGUUUUAUAAAUGAAGGAAGUGCUAAAAGGGCUAUGCCCCAGUUUACCGAAAAGGGCUUUGCCCCAGUUUAUCAAAAAGAGCUUUGCCCCAGUUAUUAAAAGAGGCUAGGCCUCCAAUUAUAUGAUAAAACAGCUAUGCUACCAGUGGAGAGUUUGGUUGGGUGGGUUGAGUUAUUCCCCACAUGGUGUGUUGGUUGGUACAGGUGGAGAGUAGCAGAUGGUGGGUUGAGUAGUCUCCCCAAAUGGGCUUGCAUACAUUCAUUGAUAUUACAUGUGAUAUUGGAAUGGGCCUAUGGGCCAUACCGCUUACAGUAAAGGCUUCGGCCAGUGAUAUGAUUUAUGAAAAGGCUUCGGCCCAGUAUAUGUCAAGACUAAAUUAGGGCUUAGGCCCAUAUUGCUACUGUUGUUGGGGAUUACACACUGAGUUUUCAUAAACUCACCCCGUUUCUAACUGUGCAGGUAAUCCCUAAGCUUAGAUGGUUUGGAGCUGCGAGGGACUCGGAAAUGGC
rnacentral:lncRNA from 1 species